AUGAUCCUCGAUUUCCCAUUUUGGUAUUUUUUAUUAUUUUUCAGUUUCGAUUUACUUUGUGAGAAAAUGCG
rnacentral:ribozyme from 15 species